rnacentral:rRNA from 1 species
UAAUACGUAGGGGGCUAGCGUUGUCCGGAAUCAUUGGGCGUAAAGCGCGUGUAGGCGGUUCGGUAAGUCCGCUGUGAAAGUCGGGGGCUCAACCCUCGAAAGCCGGUGGAUACUGUGAGGCUAGAGUACGGAAGAGGCGAGUGGAAUUCCUGGUGUAGCGGUGGAAUGCGCAGAUAUCAGGAGGAACACCAAUAGCGAAGGCAGCUCGCUGGGACGUUACUGACACUGAGGCGCGAAAGCGUGGGGAGCGAACAGGAUUAGAUACCCUGGUAGUCCACGCCGUAAACGAUGGGUACUAGGUGUGGGAGGUGUCGACUCCUCCCGUGCCGUCGCUAACGCACUAAGUACCCCGCCUGGGGAGUACGGCCGCAAGGCUA